AUCUAGCUGACGAGUCCGAAAUAGGACGAAACACGCGUCCUGGAU
rnacentral:hammerhead_ribozyme from 1 species